GCAGAUAUAUGUCGUUAAUGGGAAACUUUUAGUGUAAGUUUCUAUUCUUUGAUCAUUCAUGGUUGGAAGACUCAUUACAUAACUGAUUUUUCAUUCUUGUCCAAUAUUCAUUCAAUUUGCACCUACCAGUUUAUCCUGUGAGACAAUAUUCAUUUGGAAAUUUUGUGUGGCCUGUUUAAUAAUCAUUUUUUCCUCUUUUCCUACCAAAUUUUCAAAUAUGUUACUUAAGGAGAGUCCUUCCUCUAAAAUACCAUUUUUCUUUAGUCUAUCAAUUUUUCCUAGACUUUGUGGUUUAGAAGUUUCUUCAUUUUGUUUAUUUUCUCGUCUCAUUCAGGCACUUUGAGGCAGUUGAGGCUAGGUUUCUUCGUGCAUCAUUUUCUACUUUUGGAUUAGUUGACGUUUUUGUAACAAGAGAAUCUAUAGUGUUAGUUUUACAAUUAAAAUAUUAAAAUAUUGGAAAGCUGUAACAAAUUCUUCAAAGCUGUGAAUUAUAUUUUGAAAGAAUUAGCAAGGCUGACAUUGAGCAACA
rnacentral:lncRNA from 1 species